UAUAUGUGUAUAUAUAUAUAUGUAUAUAUAUAUGUGUAUAUAUAUAUAUGUGUAUGUAUAUAUAUAUAUAUGUGUAUGUGUAUAUAUAUAUAUGUAUGUAUAUAUGUAUGUAUGUAUGUAUGUAUGUAUGUAUGUAUAUAUAUAUAUAUAUGAUGAUAAUUGAGUGAGCGAUCUCUAUUGAAUAAUAUUGGAGACUCAAAAUGACAAGACCAGAGCCUGGAAGCCGAUGGAGAAGAAAGAUGAAUAAAGACAACGCUGGGCGAUUUAAACAACCAAGAAGGACUGCACAUUUGCCUGCCCGAAUGAAUGGAACCAAACCACCCCAUCAGGAAGGAUCGAAGCACCUGUCCCAUCACGAAAGAACACAUCGGCCCCAUCAGGACAGAACGCACCCGCCCCGUCAGGACAGAUGACGGAUUAACAAUUUUUAAGAAAGUUAUACAUUAUUAUUCCACUUCCUAUGUUUUAUAGUAAUACCCUCUUGUACUAGAAACAUAUUUGUCUGGUGUGGGAGGAGGACAUGCAUAUGAACUCCAAGUUCCUGGACAGAAAGUAUGUAUUUUCCUAAACCCUAACCAUUGUCACCUACUCUCACUCUAGCCCCUUACUUUUACUCUUAAACCACAAACCCUAAGUUUCCAACAUGACCUGACGUGUGUGUUACGAAGUUGAAGGCGGAGCAGAACUCGUACCUGCGUCAUCAUGGGCGACUUCUUGCAGUUCCUGUUACUACAAAAACCGAGCAACGUCUUCAUGUUCGCCAGCAAGUACUUCGCCACAUUUUCCUAAUGCCGACCCCCGGGGGGCACCUUCAACACAUCCUCACCUUGGGGACAAAUCACAGUCACUUUAUUGAGGACAAUACUCUUCUGGUUAGCACUUGUCACUAAUGUGUAGAGGCCCUAGAGAGUAUUGAUCAGAUAUGAAUGCUUUUAUGGAUGUUUUGUAAAUUAUUUUAUGAUACUGUUUUUACUGUCUGUUUUGUAUUAGCUGCACUGAACAUUCUUUACACUUCCUGUUUGGCAUGAUGCUCUCAAGAUGUCUCUUUCUGUUGUGUGGUAUUACCUAUAGAUGACUCCUAGUCACUUUCAAAUAGUUUGCCUCUGAAUUGGUGUCCACAUCAGGCUAUUUAAUUGUUACCUGUGUGUUAGAAUACUGCGUGCCUUUAACAUAAUUUGAACGAUCCCUCCACUGCCACAUGAUCCCUCUCUUCCUCUCCAGGAUACAUUAGGGUAUGUUGCUUUGCUGUUGGCACCAAUCCCACGCUACCAGACAACAAAGACUUUCUCCCUCUCAUCCUAAACUUUGCUAAAUUCAACAUUUCAAAGGGUAACUUGAAGCAUAAAGCCCAUUUUACAGUUGGUUUUGGCUCAGUAAAACCAAGUGAAACACACAAAUCCCUGUCCUAAUUUUAAUAAUGUGGUAUAUCUGGUAUUUUUUUGUAGUAAAUCUCGCUCAUUUGUGCCCUUGGUCUGGAAACUCAGUCAUAUUUUUAGACCUAUUUUCAACUUCAGUAUCCAAAAUGUGCUAGCUGCUCCCAUAGGAUAUAGUAAUUACAAAAGUGUAUGACGCUGAAAGUAGGGAUUAGGUAUAAAAGCUCUUGUAUGGUGUCAUUAGCAUUUUGGUGGGCGCUAUGCUGGUCCAAAGGUUCCAUGGCCACAAUAAAGCUAGAUUAUGAAUCAGAACCUCAUGGUAAUUUUCUACCACAAUUAAUUUGACCAGGACAACAGAGGACCUCCUGCCUGAUGCCUUUGGAUCUGCAAAUAGAUACUGAGAAGAUGAAAGAGAGCGCCCCGGCUCUAUGUAUUUUACUGGUUUGUGACUCACUGACACCAGCCCCGGUUAGAGGGGAAUAAAGCAGCCCAAGAGUUAA